UGAGGUGUAGCUCAGUCCGGAUAGAGCGUCGCACUACGGAUGCGGAUGUCGCAGGUUCGAAUCCUGUCACCUCAAC
rnacentral:tRNA from 3 species